AUUGAACGCUGGCGGAAUGCUUUACACAUGCAAGUCGAACGGUAGAGGGGGCAACCCCUCGAGAGUGGCGAACGGGUGAGUAAUAUAUCGGAACGUGCCCAGUCGUGGGGGAUAACGUAGCGAAAGUUACGCUAAUACCGCAUACGAUCUAAGGAUGAAAGCGGGGGAUCGCAAGACCUCGCGCGAUUGGAGCGGCCGAUAUCAGAUUAGGUAGGUGGGGGGGUAAAGGCGCACCAAGCCAACGAUCUGUAGCUGGUCUGAGAGGACGACCAGCCACACUGGAACUGAGACACGGUCCAGACUCCUACGGGAGGCAGCAGUGGGGAAUUUUGGACAAUGGACGCAAGUCUGAUCCAGCCAUUCCGCGUGCAGGAUGAAGGCCCUCGGGUUGUAAACUGCUUUUGUACGGAACGAAAAGGUCUCUCUUAAUACGGGGGGCUCAUGACGGUACCGUAAGAAUAAGCACCGGCUAACUACGUGCCAGCAGCCGCCGCCG
rnacentral:rRNA from 1 species